rnacentral:rRNA from 1 species
GAUUUCUGGUUUGACGCGCCUGGCCCGCCACGGUUACGUGUGUGAGUGCUGGAGCGUGUCUGCCAUCCUUCUAGAGAACGUAUCUACCUUUCAUUAGGACGGGUACGCGCCUCUAGAUCUUUUACUUUGAAAAAAUUAGAGUGUUUCAAGCAGGCUUUUUGCUAUGAAUACAUUAGCAUGGAAUAAUAAUUUAGGACUUCGGUUCUAUUUUGUUGGUUUCUAGGACUGAAGUAAUGAUUGAUAGGGAUAGUUGGGGGUGCUAGUAUUCAGCGGCCAGAGGUGAAAUUCUUGGAUUCGCUGAAGACUAACUUAUGCGAAAGCAUU